UACCUCGAAGUUCUGCUCUUUUGCUUGGCAUUAUUAGUCUUGUUUCUUCUAUUAGUUUAGGCGCUUCCUCGUGCGCGAGAUACUUACAUAUUAUGCACAACACAACUUUAACGGAAGCACUUUUGAGCCCCGUCGAGAGUUUUUCUAAGUUUCCGUUAAGCUUCAUUUUGAUUGGCUUCAGCGUUCUUUUCGUGUCCAUCAUGUACAGCGUGGAGCCUCUACGCUUGUCGGCUCGCGGAUUGGGCGAGCUUUGUGUUUCGUAUGUUCUGGUUUUUGCUACUCCUGCGCUUUCCUUUACCCUCUACGGCGGCGUUCUUGAUGAGCGUUUUUUUUCUUCUCUUCUUCCGCUAUUUAUUAUCAAUUGCGCUCGAAUGAUUGUGAUGAAUAUUCCCGAUAAAGAAGGAGACGAGCUAGGAGGAAAACAGACGAGCGUAGUUCUUCUAGGAGAAUCCAAAGCUCAGGACCUCAACACUUUUCUCUACCUCAUGACUUUUUUGUACGUCGUUCCUCUGCUACCCGCCAUGCCCUCUCACGUGCGUCUGGCCCACUUCUGCCUCGUGCCAUUCCGUUGGUGGCUCUCUCUUCAGCUAAACCGCCAUAAUUGGUGGAAGUGUGCUCCUUUUUUAGAGAAAUUCCCAUUUUAUGAAUCUUUAUUUGUUGUUUGUUCGGUAAUUUUUUUGAACAUCAGCCUCUUGGUUUUUAAUUUUUUAUAGAUUUAU